rnacentral:rRNA from 1 species
AGAGUUUGAUCCUGGCUCAGGACGAACGCUGGCGGCACGCCUAACACAUGCAAGUCGAACGGAGAUGAUUUGAGUUUACUUAGAUCAUCUUAGUGGCGGACGGGUGAGUAACACGUGAGCAACCUGCCUUUGAGAGAGGGAUAGCUUCUGGAAACGGAUGGUAAUACCUCAUAACAUACAGAUACCGCAUGGUGACUGUAUCAAAGAUUUAUCACUCAAAGAUGGGCUCGCGUCUGAUUAGAUAGUUGGUGAGGUAAUGGCCCACCAAGGCGACGAUCGGUAGCCGGACUGAGAGGUUGAACGGCCACAUUGGGACUGAGACACGGCCCAGACUCCUACGGGAGGCAGCAGUGGGGAAUAUUGCACAAUGGGGGAAACCCUGAUGCAGCGACGCCGCGUGGAGGAAGAAGGUCUUCGGAUUGUAAACUCCUGUUGUUGAGGAAGAUAAUGACGGUACUCAACAAGGAAGUGACGGCUAACUACGUGCCAGCAGCCGCGGUAAAACGUAGGUCACAAGCGUUGUCCGGAAUUACUGGGUGUAAAGGGAGCGCAGGCGGGCGAUCAAGUUGGAAGUGAAAUCCAUGGGCUCAACCCAUGAACUGCUUUCAAAACUGAUUGUCUUGAGUAGUGCAGAGGUAGGCGGAAUUCCCGGUGUAGCGGUGGAAUGCGUAGAUAUCGGGAGGAACACCAGUGGCGAAGGCGGCCUACUGGGCACCAACUGACGCUGAGGCUCGAAAGUGUGGUAGCAAACAGGAUUAGAUACCCUGGUAGUCCACACCGUAAACGAUGAUUACUAGGUGUUGGAGGAUUGACCCUUUCAGUGCCGCAGUUAACACAAUAAGUAAUCCACCUGGGGAGUACGACCGCAAGGUUGAAACUCAAAGGAAUUGACGGGGGCCCGCACAAGCAGUGGAGUAUGUGGUUUAAUUCGACGCAACGCGAAGAACCUUACCAAGUCUUGACAUCCUGCGACGAUGCUAGAAAUAGUAUUUUCCUUCGGGACGCAGAGACAGGUGGUGCAUGGUUGUCGUCAGCUCGUGUCGUGAGAUGUUGGGUUAAGUCCCGCAACGAGCGCAACCCUUAUGGUCAGUUACUACGCAAGAGGACUCUGGCCAGACUGCCGUUGACAAAACGGAGGAAGGUGGGGAUGACGUCAAAUCAUCAUGCCCUUUAUGACUUGGGCUACACACGUACUACAAUGGCGUUAAACAAAGAGAAGCAAGACCGCGAGGUGGAGCAAAACUCAGAAACAACGUCCCAGUUCGGACUGCAGGCUGCAACUCGCCUGCACAAAGUCGGAAUUGCUAGUAAUCGCAGAUCAGCAUGCUGCGGUGAAUACGUUCCCGGGCCUUGUACACACCGCCCGUCACACCAUGAGAGCCGGGGGGACCCGAAGUCGGUAGUCUAACCGCAAGGAGGACGCCGCCGAAGGUAAAACUGGUGAUUGGGGUGAAGUCGUAACAAGGUA